GCCACUGCUAUUGGAGUUCGACUAAGCCAUGCGAGUUCAGGGGGGCUUUGCCCACCAGCGGACGGCUCAGUAACACGUGGACAACCUACCCUCAGGAGGGGGAUAACCCUUGGAAACAGGGGCUAAACCCCCAUAGAUCAUGGAUGCUGGAAUGCACCGUGGUUAAAAUUCCUUCGGGAGCCUGAGGAUGGGUCUGCGGCCUAUCAGGUUGUAGUGGGGGUAAUGGCCCCACUAGCCUAUGACGGGUACGGGCCCUGAGAGGGGGAGCCCGGAGAUGGACUCUGAGACACGAGUCCAGGCCCUACGGGGCGCAGCAGGCGCGAAACCUUCGCAAUGCAGGCAACUGCGACGAGGGGACUCCAAGUGCCUACGCUCAGCGUAGGCUGUUCUUAAGCCUAGAAAGCUUUAGGAGUAAGGGCUGGGUAAGACGGGUGCCAGCCGCCGGGGUAAUACCCGCAGCCCAAGUGGUGGCCGUUUUUAUUGGGCCUAAAGCGUCCGUAGCCGGUUUGGUAAAUGCCUGGGUAAAUCGUGGAGCCUAACUUCACGAAUUCCGGGUAGACUGCCAGACUCGGGACCGGAAGAGGGAGAGGGUACUUCAGGGGUAGGGGUGAAAUCCUGUAAUCCCUGGAGGACCACCCGUGGCGAAGGCGCUCUUCUAACACGGGUCCGACGGUGAGGGACGAAAGCCAGGGGAGCAAACCGGAUUAGAUACCCGGGUAGUCCUGGCCGUAAACGAUGUGGACU
rnacentral:rRNA from 1 species